rnacentral:lncRNA from 1 species
UCCUGCAGAGUAUCCCAAUUCAUAUGUUAUCAGCAGUUAAUCCACCGAGAUAUGUGAUCAACAAAUUGCAUAGCAUUUUUGCCAAAUUUUUCUAGAGCAGCAAUGUGGGAGGUAGCUCAAGACAUUGGUCAUCAUGGACUAAGCUGUGUAUGCCUUAUGAGGAGGGGGGUAUAGGUUUCAGAUCCCUUCAUGAUGUAUCCAAGUCACUUUUCUGCAAAUUGUGGUGGAAUUUCAGGACAAAACCCAGCUUAUGGAGUGCUUUUAUGUGCGAAAAGUAUGCAAGUAAUUAAAUCCUGUAAUUGUACUGUGAAGGGUGGAUCCCAUGUAUAGAGAAAAAUGCUUGAAUGCAGGGACUUGAUUGAGCAUCAAAUCUAAAUUAAAUCCUAUAAUUGUACCGUGGAAGGGUGGAUCCCAUGUAUGGAGAAAAAUACUUGAAUGCAGGGACUUGGUAGAGCAUCAAAUCAUCUGGAAAUUGAGAAUGGGAUCGGCUCAUUUCUGGUUCGUCAAUUGGACUGAGAUGGGAGCCUUAUAUUUCCAACUACCUGCACAUUUUGUCAUUGAUGAAGACAUUCACAAUGUCAAUGAUAUGAUUGAAAAUGGUAUGUGGAAAAUUAUUUCAAACUCUACCUGAAGAUUUGGCAAACCACAUU